rnacentral:rRNA from 1 species
ACAUGUCUUUUUGAUUAUAAUUUAAAGUCAAAUYUGCUCCAUGAAAUUUUUAAAUAGCUGCAGUAUUUUGACUGUACAAAGGUAGCAUAAUCAAUAGUUUUUUAAUUAAAAGCUGGAAUGAAUGAUUUGAUAAGGUAAAUAUUGUCUCAAUUUUAAUGAUAUUAUAAUUUUUUUUUUAGUAAAAAAACUAAAAUGAAUUUAAAAGACGAGAAGACCCUAUAGAUUUUUAUAUUUUAAAUAUGACAAAUUUAAAUUUAAUUUAUUAUUAUAUUAAAAAAUAUUUGGUUGGGGAAAUCAUUAAAUUAAAAAAAUUUUAAUUUUUAUUAAACAAUAAUGAUUGAUUUUAUGAUCUUUAAUAUUAAGAUUUAUAGAUUAAAUUACCUUAGGGAUAACAGCGUAAUUUUUUUUGAUAGAUCAUAUUGAUAAAAAAGUUUGCGACCUCGAUGUUGAAUUAAGAUUAAAUUUUAAUGUAGAAGUUAAAAAAUUUUGGUCUGUUCGACCAUUAAAAUCUUACGUGAUCUGAGUUCA